rfam:Thermotogales bacterium 46_20 MPJ_scaffold_5313, whole genome shotgun sequence.
AAUUCUCUAGGCAAUGAAGCUUGCCUUGGAGAACAGUCCUCCAGAACCGCCACCAGCUGAUAGCUUCUACCAAAAU